rnacentral:pre_miRNA from 1 species
AUGGCCCCAGGAGUUCCCCCAAACACUUCAGUAAGGUGCAAGGAACCCUAAUGAAGUGUUUAGGGGAACUAUAGGGUACAU